CCUACGGGUGGCAGCAGUGAGGAAUAUUAGUCAAUGGGCGCGAGCCUGAACCAGCCAAGUAGCGUGAAGGAUGACUGCCCUACGGGUUGUAAACUUCUUUUAUAAAGGAAUAAAGUGAGGCACGUGUGCAUUUUUGUAUGUACUUUAUGAAUAAGGAUCGGCUAACUCCUUGCCAGCAGCCGCGGUAAUACGGAGGAUCCGAGCGUUAUCCGGAUUUAUUGGGUUGAAAGGGAGCGGAGAUGGGUUGUUAAGUCAGGUGUGAAAGUUGGCGGCUCAACCGUAAAAUUGCAAUUGAUACUGGCAGUCUUGAGUACAGUUGAGGUAGGCGGAAUUCGUGGUGUAGCGGUGAAAUGCUUAGAUAUCACGAAGAACUCCGAUGGCGAAGGCAGCUUACUAAACUGCCACUGACAUUGAUGCUCGAAAGUGUGGGUAGCAAACAGGAUUAGAUACCCCAGUAGUC
rnacentral:rRNA from 1 species